rnacentral:rRNA from 1 species
CUGCAGUCGACGGUGAUGAGGAGCUUGCUUCUCUGAUCAGUGGCGAACGGGUGAGUAACACGUGAGCAAUCUGCCCUUGACUCUGGGAUAAGCGUUGGAAACGACGUCUAAUACCGGAUACGACCCUUGGAGGCAUCUCUGGGGGUGGAAAGAAUUUUGGUCAAGGAUGAGCUCGCGGCCUAUCAGCUAGUUGGUGAGGUAAUGGCUCACCAAGGCGACGACGGGUAGCCGGCCUGAGAGGGUGACCGGCCACACUGGGACUGAGACACGGCCCAGACUCCUACGGGAGGCAGCAGUGGGGAAUAUUGCACAAUGGGCGAAAGCCUGAUGCAGCAACGCCGCGUGAGGGACGACGGCCUUCGGGUUGUAAACCUCUUUUAGUAGGGAAGAAGCGAAAGUGACGGUACCUGCAGAAAAAGCACCGGCUAACUACGUGCCAGCAGCCGCGGUAAUACGUAGGGUGCAAGCGUUGUCCGGAAUUAUUGGGCGUAAAGAGCUCGUAGGCGGUUUGUCGCGUCUGCUGUGAAAACCCGAGGCUCAACCUCGGGCCUGCAGUGGGUACGGGCAGACUAGAGUGCGGUAGGGGAGAUUGGAAUUCCUGGUGUAGCGGUGGAAUGCGCAGAUAUCAGGAGGAACACCAAUGGCGAAGGCAGAUCUCUGGGCCGUAACUGACGCUGAGGAGCGAAAGCAUGGGGAGCGAACAGGAUUAGAUACCCUGGUAGUCCAUGCCGUAAACGUUGGGAACUAGAUGUGGGGACCAUUCCACGGUCUCCGUGUCGCAGCUAACGCAUU